rnacentral:rRNA from 1 species
AGAGUUUGAUCCUGGCUCAGAACGAACGCUGGCGGCGCGCUUAACACAUGCAAGUCGAACGAGAAGGCGUAGCAAUACGCUUGUAAAGUGGCGAACGGGUGAGGAGUACAUGGGUAACCUACCCUCGAGUGGGGGAUAACCCGCCGAAAGGCGGGCUAAUACCGCGUACGCUUCCGAUCUUGCGGGAUUGGAAGGAAAGCUGUCCCAUGGGGAUGGCGCUCAAGGAUGGGCUCAUGUCCUAUCAGCUUGUUGGUAGGGUAACGGCCUACCAAGGCAUCGACGGGUAGCUGGUCUGAGAGGACGAUCAGCCACACUGGCACUGCGACACGGGCCAGACUCCUACGGGAGGCAGCAGUGAGGAAUAUUGCGCAAUGGGCGAAAGCCUGACGCAGCGACGCCGCGUGGGGGAUGAAGGUCUUCGGAUUGUAAACCCCUUUCGGGAGGGAAGACGGCCUUAGACAACUAAGGCGGACGUACUUCCAAAGCAGGCCACGU